GAUAUUCCUGUACCACCUAGUAUCGUUUUAAUCGAUGGGGGGACGCAGUAGGAUAGGCGAAGCGUGCUGUUGGAGUGCACGUCCAAGCAGUAAGGCUGAGUGUUAGGCAAAUCCGGCACUCAUAAGGCUGAGCUGUGAUGGGGAGAGGAAAUUGUUUCCUCGAGUCGCUGAUUUCACACUGCCGAGAAAAGCCUCUAGAUAGAUAACAGGUGCCCGUACCGCAAACCGACACAGGUAGUCAAGAUGAGAAUUCUAAGGUGAGCGAGCGAACUCUCGUUAAGGAACUCGGCAAAAUGACCCCGUAACUUCGGGAGAAGGGGUGCUCUUUAGGGUUCACGCCCAGAAGAGCCGCAGUGAAUAGGCCCAAGCGACUGUUUAUCAAAAACACAGGUCUCUGCUAAACCGUAAGGUGAUGUAUAGGGGCUGACGCCUGCCCGGUGCUGGAAGGUUAAGAGGAGUGGUUAGCUUCUGCGAAGCUACGAAUCGAAGCCCCAGUAAACGGCGGCCGUAACUAUAACGGUCCUAAGGUAGCGAAAUUCCUUGUCGGGUAAGUUCCGACCCGCACGAAAGGCGUAACGAUUUGGGCACUGUCUCAACGAGAGACUCGGUGAAAUCAUAGUACCUGUGAAGAUGCAGGUUACCCGCGACAGGACGGAAAGACCCCGUGGAGCUUUACUGUAGCCUGAUAUUGAAAUUCGGCACAGCUUGUACAGGAUAGGUAGGAGCCUUUGAAACGUGAGCGCUAGCUUACGUGGAGGCGUUGGUGGGAUACUACCCUAGCUGUGUUGGCUUUCUAACCCGCACCACUUAUCGUGGUGGGAGACAGUGUCAGGCGGGCAGUUUGACUGGGGCGGUCGCCUCCUAAAAGGUAACGGAGGCGCUCAAAGGUUCCCUCAGAAUGGUUGGAAAUCAUUCAUAGAGUGUAAAGGCAUAAGGGAGCUUGACUGCGAGACCUACAAGUCGAGCAGGGUCGAAAGACGGACUUAGUGAUCCGGUGGUUCCGCAUGGAAGGGCCAUCGCUCAACGGAUAAAAGCUACCCCGGGGAUAACAGGCUUAUCUCCCCCAAGAGUUCACAUCGACGGGGAGGUUUGGCACCUCGAUGUCGGCUCAUCGCAUCCUGGGGCUGUAGUCGGUCCCAAGGGUUGGGCUGUUCGCCCAUUAAAGCGGUACGCGAGCUGGGUUCAGAACGUCGUGAGACAGUUCGGUCCCUAUCCGUCGUGGGCGUAGGAAAUUUGAGAGGAGCUGUCCUUAGUACGAGAGGACCGGGAUGGACAUACCUCUGGUGUACCAGUUGUCGUGCCAACGGCAUAGCUGGGUAGCUAUGUAUGGACGGGAUAAGUGCUGAAAGCAUCUAAGCAUGAAGCCCCCCUCAAGAUGAGAUUUCCCAACUUCGGUUAUAAGAUCCCUCGAAGAUGACGAGGUUAAUAGGUUCGAGGUGGAAGCGUGGUGACACGUGGAGCUGACGAAUACUAAUCGAUCGAAGACUUAAUC
rnacentral:rRNA from 2 species